rnacentral:rRNA from 1 species
AUUGAACGCUGGCGGCAGGCCUAACACAUGCAAGUCGAACGGUAACAGGAAGCAGCUUGCUGCUUUGCUGACGAGUGGCGGACGGGUGAGUAAUGUCUGGGAAACUGCCUGAUGGGGGGGGAUAACUACUGGAAACGGUAGCUAAUACCGCAUAACGUCGCAAGACCAAAGAGGGGGACCUUCGGGCCUCUUGCCAUCGGAUGUGCCCAGAUGGGAUUAGCUAGUAGGUGGGGUAACGGCUCACCUAGGCGACGAUCCCUAGCUGGUCUGAGAGGAUGACCAGCCACACUGGAACUGAGACACGGUCCAGACUCCUACGGGAGGCAGCAGUGGGGAAUAUUGCACAAUGGGCGCAAGCCUGAUGCAGCCAUGCCGCGUGUAUGAAGAAGGCCUUCGGGUUGUAAAGUACUUUCAGCGGGGAGGAAGGGAGUAAAGUUAAUACCUUUGCUCAUUGACGUUACCCGCAGAAGAAGCACCGGCUAACUCCGUG